GAAAGACACAGGGCAGGGAGGCUGGAGAUGUGAGUUCUAGUCCUAUGACCUUGACUGGACCCCCUCCUCAUCUGAGGGCUUCUGAAACAGGCUUUAUGGGAACUGCAGACAGUUUUCCUACUUGGAUAUAUUAACUGCAGAAGGGGUGACCUUCACAUGGCCACAGCCUGUCAUACCAAACUGGUCAGUUUAUUCCUGGAUUUGAUGCCUUUUGCCACAUGGAAUGGUUGAGGCAAUGUCAGAGGGAGGCUGUCAUCCUGAUGGGAGUGGAUGGAGGCAUGAACUGUGAAAAGAAGCAGCCGAAGGAGCCUGGUCUCCCAGGAAAGCACAGUUUCAGAUGCUCCUGACUUCUGAGGAUGAAGCAGUUAAGCAAAGAAAAGAACUUAAGCCAUGGGGUGAUAAGGAAGAAAGAAGAGAAAAAAAAUUCAGGACGUGUAACAUAUAGCACAGCUCAUGGGUAGAUGUCACUGUCCUAGAAGGUACGUUGAUAUGGGAAUUACUGCCAUAAAUCCCACGGAUCUCAUUUGUCAAACAUCUGGACUGCUGUGGGGUGGAGUGUGUCAGGAUAUGUCAGCGGUGGAGGCGAGUUCUUUACUGGCACCACCUACGGAGGAAUUCACCACUUCCUAUCUGAUGGCUUUGACUGGGCUGUGGAUCUUCUGACCCUAAUGCUCUGGUCCUCGACCUCUCAGAUCCAGACUGUAAUCUACGUCCCUGAACUCCUUGCUUCUCAGACCUUAGAAGAAGAGACCCUAGAGAUCUCGCGUCCUCUCUCUGCUGUGUGAGGACACAGUGAGAAGAUGGCUAGCUGCAAGCCAGAAGGAGAGACUUCACCAGAACCUUGAUCUUGGAUCUCCAGCCAUCAGAACUUCUUUCCCAGCACCAGGGACACUGAGUUAUCUCUUCACAUCAGAUGACCAAAAUACUGCAUCAGCAUCAGUCCUUCCAGUGAGGUUUCAGGGUUGAUCUCCCUUAAGAUUGACUGGCUUGAUCUCCUUGCUGUAUGAGCCAAGUGACUCAAGACAACCAUUUGGUACCGUCAGCGUGAAUGAAAAUCAUGCAGGGUUUCUCAAGGGUAGAGUGGUCAGGCACAUCAGCAUGCCAUCUAGACUGAGUCCAUCUGUGUCCACCUCCUUCACCACCCCCACCAGGAGCACCUCCUCUUCUCUGCAAAGGAAUUCAGCGAUAUUUGUGGUUGCAUUGAGUAAAGGAUAUUAUCCAGUUUCUCUAAGACAGCUGUUUUCUUAAGAUCCAGAGCCUGGUGAAUCCUCAGAGUGUCCCUAUCCCAGGAGGAGCACACCCAAGCUCAGAGUAAGUCUCUUCUGUGAGUGAAGAGCAAGCAUUUGCCCUUGACUUCUCCCUUCCUUCUCUGGGAGGAGGUCAGCACGGUAUUUUCUCACCAGCUCUGAAUCUGUUGCUUCUCUGCCAGCAUUUCACUAUUACUGUGUUGACCUCUUCUGAGGAAGG